rnacentral:rRNA from 1 species
GACGAACGCUGGCGGCGUGCCUAAUACAUGCAAGUAGAACGCUGAAGGAGGAGCUUGCUUCUCUGGAUGAGUUGCGAACGGGUGAGUAACGCGUAGGUAACCUGCCUGGAAGCGGGGGAUAACUAUUGGAAACGAUAGCUAAUACCGCAUAAUAGCAGUUAUUGCAUGAUAACUGUUUGAAAGGUGCAAUUGCACCACUACCAGAUGGACCUGCGUUGUAUUAGCUAGUUGGUGGGGUAACGGCUCACCAAGGCGACGAUACAUAGCCGACCUGAGAGGGUGAUCGGCCACACUGGGACUGAGACACGGCCCAGACUCCUACGGGAGGCAGCAGUAGGGAAUCUUCGGCAAUGGACGGAAGUCUGACCGUGCAACGCCGCGUGAGUGAAGAAGGUUUUCGGAUGUAAAGCUCUGUUGUAAGAGAAGAACGAGUGUGAGAGUGGAAA